rnacentral:rRNA from 1 species
UACGUAGGGUGCGAGCGUUGUCCGGAAUUAUUGGGCGUAAAGAGCUCGUAGGCGGUGUGUCACGUCGGCCGUGAAAACCUGCAGCUUAACUGUGGGCGUGCGGUCGAUACGGGCAUCACUGGAGUUCGGCUGGGGAGACUGGAAUUCCUGGUGUAGCGGUGAAAUGCGCAGAUAUCAGGAGGAACACCGGUGGCGAAGGCGGGUCUCUGGGCCGAUACUGACGCUGAGGAGCGAAAGCGUGGGGAGCGAACAGG